UACGUAGGGUGCAAGCGUUGUCCGGAAUUAUUGGGCGUAAAGAGCUCGUAGGCGGUUUGUCGCGUCGGCUGUGAAAACUCGGGGGCUCAACCCUCGAGCCUGCAGUCGAUACGGGCAGACUGGAGUACUGCAGGGGAGACUGGAAUUCCUGGUGUAGCGGUGGAAUGCGCAGAGUAUCAGGAGGAACACCGGUGGCGAAGGCGGGUCUCUGGGCAGUAACUGACGCUGGAGGAGCGAAAGCGUGGGGAGCAAACAGG
rnacentral:rRNA from 1 species